CACUGGACUGAGACACGGUCCAGACUCCUACGGGAGGCAGCAGUGGGGAAUAUUGCACAAUGGGCGCAAGCCUGAUGCAGCCAUGCCGCGUGUGUGAAGAAGGCCUUCGGGUUGUAAAGCACUUUCAGUCGUGAGGAAGGUAGUGUAGUUAAUAGCUGCAUUAUUUGACGUUAGCGACAGAAGAAGCACCGGCUAACUCCGUGCCAGCAGCCGCGGUAAUACGGAGGGUGCGAGCGUUAAUCGGAAUUACUGGGCGUAAAGCGCAUGCAGGUGGUUUGUUAAGUCAGAUGUGAAAGCCCGGGGCUCAACCUCGGAAUAGCAUUUGAAACUGGCAGACUAGAGUACUGUAGAGGGGGGUAGAAUUUCAGGUGUAGCGGUGAAAUGCGUAGAGAUCUGAAGGAAUACCGGUGGCGAAGGCGGCCCCCUGGACAGAUACUGACACUCAGAUGCGAAAGCGUGGGGAGCAAACAGGAUUAGAUACCCUGGUAGUCCACGCCGUAAACGAUGUCUACUUGGAGGUUGUGGCCUUGAGCCGUGGCUUUCGGAGCUAACGCGUUAAGUAGACCGCCUGGGGAGUACGGUCGCAAGAUUAAAACUCAAAUGAAUUGACGGGGGCCCGCACAAGCGGUGGAGCAUGUGGUUUAAUUCGAUGCAACGCGAAGAACCUUACCUACUCUUGACAUCCAGAGAACUUUCCAGAGAUGGAUUGGUGCCUUCGGGAGCUCUGAGACAGGUGCUGCAU
rnacentral:rRNA from 1 species